rnacentral:rRNA from 1 species
GAUGAACGCUAGCGAUAGGCUUAACACAUGCAAGUCGAGGGGCAGCACAAGGUAGCUUGCUAUCUGGGUGGCGACCGGCGCACGGGUGCGUAACGCGUAUGCAACUUGCCCUAUACAGGAGGAUAACCCGUCGAAAGACGGACUAAUACUGCGUAUGCUCACAACUUGGCAUCCAGUGGUGAGGAAAGAAAUUCGGUAUAGGAUAGGCAUGCGCCCCAUUAGCUUGUUGGUGAGGUAACGGCUCACCAAGGCAACGAUGGGUAGGGGAACUGAGAGGUUUAUCCCCCACACUGGUACUGAGACACGGACCAGACUCCUACGGGAGGCAGCAGUGAGGAAUAUUGGUCAAUGGGCGCGAGCCUGAACCAGCCAAGUCGCGUGAAGGAUGACUGUCUUAUGGAUUGUAAACUUCUUUUAUACGGGAAUAACAAGAGUCACGUGUGACUCCCUGCAUGUACCGUAUGAAUAAGCAUCGGCUAACUCCGUG